rnacentral:rRNA from 1 species
UGCCAGCAGCCGCGGUAAUACGAAGGGUGCAAGCGUUGUUCGGAUUUAUUGGGCGUAAAGCGCGCGCAGGCGGAUUAACAAGUCAGAUGUGAAAUCUCGGGGCUCAACCCCGAAACUGCGUCUGAAACUGUUAAUCUAGAAUCUUGGAGAGGGAAGGGGAAUUUCUCAUGUAGGGGUAAAAUCCGUAGAGAUGAGAAGGAACACCAGAGGCGAAGGCGUCUUCCUGGACAAGUAUUGACGCUGAGGCGCGAAAGCGUGGGGAGCAAACAGGAUUAGAUA